rnacentral:ncRNA from 1 species
AUGGCGAGGAUCUUGGCGAUAUAGGGGAUCAGCGGCAGGUUCAGGACCAGCAACACCAGAUUGCCGAUGUACAUGGAGAUGAUCACGGCCCAGAACACCUGCGGUUCAUCCACCAUCAGACGCGGUCC